rnacentral:rRNA from 1 species
AAAUUGAAGAGUUUGAUCAUGGCUCAGAUUGAACGCUGGCGGCAGGCCUAACACAUGCAAGUCGAACGGUAACAGGAAGCAGCUUGCUGCUUUGCUGACGAGUGGCGGACGGGUGAGUAAUGUCUGGGAAACUGCCUGAUGGAGGGGGAUAACUACUGGAAACGGUGGCUAAUACCGCAUAACGUCGCAAGACCAAAGAGGGGGACCUUCGGGCCUCUUGCCAUCAGAUGUGCCCAGAUGGGAUUAGCUAGUUGGUGAGGUAACGGCUCACCAAGGCGACGAUCCCUAGCUGGUCUGAGAGGAUGACCAGCCACACUGGAACUGAGACACGGUCCAGACUCCUACGGGAGGCAGCAGUGGGGAAUAUUGCACAAUGGGCGCAAGCCUGAUGCAGCCAUGCCGCGUGUAUGAAGAAGGCCUUCGGGUUGUAAAGUACUUUCAGCGGGGAGGAAGGUGUUGUGGUUAAUAACCUCAGCAAUUGACGUUACCCGCAGAAGAAGCACCGGCUAACUCCGUGCCAGCAGCCGCGGUAAUACGGAGGGUGCAAGCGUUAAUCGGAAUUACUGGGCGUAAAGCGCACGCAGGCGGUCUGUCAAGUCGGAUGUGAAAUCCCCGGGCUCAACCUGGGAACUGCAUUCGAAACUGGCAGGCUUGAGUCUUGUAGAGGGGGGUAGAAUUCCAGGUGUAGCGGUGAAAUGCGUAGAGAUCUGGAGGAAUACCGGUGGCGAAGGCGGCCCCCUGGACAAAGACUGACGCUCAGGUGCGAAAGCGUGGGGAGCAAACAGGAUUAGAUACCCUGGUAGUCCACGCCGUAAACGAUGUCUACUUGGAGGUUGUGCCCUUGAGGCGUGGCUUCCGGAGCUAACGCGUUAAGUAGACCGCCUGGGGAGUACGGCCGCAAGGUUAAAACUCAAAUGAAUUGACGGGGGCCCGCACAAGCGGUGGAGCAUGUGGUUUAAUUCGAUGCAACGCGAAGAACCUUACCUGGUCUUGACAUCCACAGAACUUUCCAGAGAUGGAUUGGUGCCUUCGGGAACUGUGAGACAGGUGCUGCAUGGCUGUCGUCAGCUCGUGUUGUGAAAUGUUGGGUUAAGUCCCGCAACGAGCGCAACCCUUAUCCUUUGUUGCCAGCGGUCCGGCCGGGAACUCAAAGGAGACUGCCAGUGAUAAACUGGAGGAAGGUGGGGAUGACGUCAAGUCAUCAUGGCCCUUACGACCAGGGCUACACACGUGCUACAAUGGCGCAUACAAAGAGAAGCGACCUCGCGAGAGCAAGCGGACCUCAUAAAGUGCGUCGUAGUCCGGAUUGGAGUCUGCAACUCGACUCCAUGAAGUCGGAAUCGCUAGUAAUCGUGGAUCAGAAUGCCACGGUGAAUACGUUCCCGGGCCUUGUACACACCGCCCGUCACACCAUGGGAGUGGGUUGCAAAAGAAGUAGGUAGCUUAACCUUCGGGAGGGCGCUUACCACUUUGUGAUUCAUGACUGGGGUGAAGUCGUAACAAGGUAACCGUAGGGGAACCUGCGGUUGGAUCACCUCCUUA